UACGUAGGGUGCGAGCGUUAAUCGGAAUUACUGGGCGUAAAGUGUGCGCAGGCGGCCGCGCAAGUCGAGUGUGAAAUCCCCGAGCUUAACUUGGGAAUUGCGCUCGAAACUACGUGGCUGGAGUGUGGCAGAGGAAGGUGGAAUUCCACGUGUAGCGGUGAAAUGCGUAGAGAUGUGGAGGAACACCGAUGGCGAAGGCAGCCUUCUGGGCCAACACUGACGCUCAUGCACGAAAGCGUGGGAGCAAACAGG
rnacentral:rRNA from 1 species